rnacentral:sRNA from 1 species
UUGACAGCUCUAGCUUUUCUCUGUUUAUCCACAGAACAGGCAAGGCAUGGUCAGUGACAGUGCCAGCUUCCUGCACACUGCCUUAUGUAUGUGCCUUAACACAGACCUAGGGAAAAUUCCUCCAGGAGUAGGAGCAGAGUUUAUUCAUGUCUCAUUCAUUGGCCUCU